rnacentral:rRNA from 1 species
AUUGAACGCUGGCGGCAGGCCUAACACAUGCAAGUCGAGCGGAUGAAGGGAGCUUGCUCCUGGAUUCAGCGGCGGACGGGUGAGUAAUGCCUAGGAAUCUGCCUGGUAGUGGGGGAUAACGUCCGGAAACGGGCGCUAAUACCGCAUACGUCCUGAGGGAGAAAGUGGGGGAUCUUUGGACCUCACGCUAUCAGAUGAGCCUAGGUCGGAUUAGCUAGUUGGUGGGGUAAAGGCCUACCAAGGCGACGAUCCGUAACUGGUCUGAGAGGAUGAUCAGUCACACUGGAACUGAGACACGGUCCAGACUCCUACGGGAGGCAGCAGUGGGGAAUAUUGGACAAUGGGCGAAAGCCUGAUCCAGCCAUGCCGCGUGUGUGAAGAAGGUCUUCGGAUUGUAAAGCACUUUAAGUUGGGAGGAAGGGCAGUAAGUUAAUAUCUUGCUGUUUUGACGUUACCAACAGAAUAAGCACCGGCUAACUUCGUG